UCGGUGGAGGAGAAGGCAUAGGUGCGGGAGCAGAGAGUGAGAGGCAAUGAGGUAGUGGUCGAGGGACAAUAUAAUUGAGGGUAGCUAGGUUUUCAAUGAAGCAGAGAGCUGAGGACAAGAGAUGAGAAUUAAGGAAGAACAAGGGUGGGCGGCUGAAAGGUUUGACGGGUUAGGGUUCAUUUCAUAAGGUUAUAUGUGUUUGGUUUGGUUUGGUUUUUCCGUUUGUUAAUGAUUUAACCAAACCUAUCGGAAGCGAAAAUCGAAAUUACCUAAAACUGAACCGCAUUGAUUAAACUGAAAAAUAAAACUGAACCGGUUCGGGUUUAACUGGAAACUGAACAGCCCUAUGUGAAGGAAGUUAGGAUCCUAGUAUGUGGUAUUAAUUGCUUUGCUUGUGGCAUAUGUUUUUGAAAUGAAGUGUUGGAAGCAGAAAAUAUCCGUCCGUAAAUUGGCUAUUUAAAGGACUUAGGGUUUUUCUCACCCCUUAUAGGCAGAUUUUUCUUAUUUGGGCUUGUAAUUGAUAGUAUAUUUUGCAGGAAGCAAGCAGGGGAUUACAUUUCUGCUUAUGAACUGUGAAAAGUACACAAAAGUUAAUUGCUUACUAUAAACCUUCUAUUGCCCAUCUUUGGUGUUUGUUGAUUGCUUCUGAAAAUUGCCCAAUCUCCCUUUUGAGUGAAAAUCUUUCUCAAUGAAAGCUUUGAUAGUUGCAAUAGACCCUUUUUUUUCUGGUGUGGUUUGUGAGGCUUUAUCUUUGUCCAGUCAGAAUCUUCUUCUUUGGUUUCUUAGGGAUUAUCUGGGAUUGCGCGUGCAGUUGGCAUCACUGUUUUCUCAAU
rnacentral:misc_RNA from 1 species